rnacentral:rRNA from 1 species
UACCAGCACCCCGAGUGGUCGGGACGAUUAUUGGGCCUAAAGCAUCCGUAGCCGGCCUUACAAGUCCUCCGUUAAAUCCAGCUGCUUAACAGAUGGGCUGCGGAGGAUACUAUAAGACUAGGAGGCAGGAGAGGCAAGCGGUACUCAGUGGGUAGGGGUAAAAAUCCGUUGAUCCAUAGAAGACCACCAGUGGCGAAGGCGGCUUGC